rnacentral:lncRNA from 1 species
UUCUAUAUUAAUUAUUUCAGUACAAGAAUAAAGUAAAACAACAUGUUUUUAUUUUACUUUAGUACAUUAUUUAAGGGUACAAAAUAUAGGUCUAAUUCUUUUGGCAGCAACAAGCUGCAACUCCCACACAGGAUCCACCUUUAUAGCCAAGUUUAAGGCAGUAUUCAGUGCAAUUUGGGGUACAAUCAGGUGCGCAGACAGUUCCUUGUUCAGCCAAGCCAAGGUCCAAACAUGUUGCAGGUCCUACAUUGAGAAAUAAUUUAAUACCUAUGUUCAUAGAUACUUCUAUUCCAUAACACAAUAAAAUAGACAAAAUUUUGUGAAGUGAUAUUUUCCUAAUACCCGACCAAAUAUUCAACAAUUACUUAUUAUUACUGUAAUUUUUAAACUGGCAAAGUUAUUACGAAAAUAAAAAAAUCAAUACUUUACAUUAAUUGUUCAAUAUAAUAUAAUUGUAAGUGAAGAGAUGAAGUUGAACUUUACCUGAAGCCAAGACCAAUGCAAUGCAUAAAAUUGCUAGGAGAAAUGGUUGGUAGAUGCCAAAACGUCCCAUUUUAUGAUAUUUAGUUUCACUUUCAAAUUCUAAUAUUUGUUUG